rnacentral:ncRNA from 1 species
AAUGAUGGUUUUGCCGCUUUUCAUUAUAGUUCUUAUGGGACUUUUUCUACAAAAAAUAGGCUCCAUAAUUCCUACAGUGGAUUUACCCACUACAGAAAUUAUAGAGCC